rnacentral:rRNA from 1 species
UGAACCUGCGGAAGGAUCAUUACCGAGUGAGGGCCCUCUGGGUUCCAACCUCCCACCCGUGUUUAUUUUACCUUGGUUUGCUUCGGCGGGCCCGCCUUAACUGGCCGCCGGGGGGCUUACGCCCCCGGGCCCGCGCCCGCCGAAGACACCCUCGAACUCUGUCUGAAGAUUGUAGUCUGAGUGAAAAUAUAAAUUAUUUAAAACUUUCAACAACGGAUCUCUUGGUUCCGGCAUCGAUGAAGAACGCAGCGAAAUGCGAUACGUAAUGUGAAUUGCAAAUUCAGUGAAUCAUCGAGUCUUUGAACGCACAUUGCGCCCCCUGGUAUUCCGGGGGGCAUGCCUGUCCGAGCGUCAUUUCUGCCCUCAAGCACGGCUUGUGUGUUGGGCCCCGUCCUCCGAUCCCGGGGGACGGGCCCGAAAGGCAGCGGCGGCACCGCGUCCGGUCCUCGAGCGUAUGGGGCUUUGUCACCCGCUCUGUAGGCCCGGCCGGCGCUUGCCGAUCAACCCAAAUUUUUAUCCAGGUUGACCUCGGAUCAGGUAGGGAUACCC